rnacentral:lncRNA from 1 species
GAACUCAAAAGCUAAUGCGAAACUAACUGUCGGCACCGUAGGUCAAUUAAUUCAAUCAUUUUCCCUAACAUUGAAACAAUUAUUUUGAAACCCGAAUUUUCAAAGUAACGCCUAACCUUGUAUCCUACUAUCCACAAAUCAUAAAUCUCCAAAACUCAUUUAUUCAUCCAAAAAAACAUUCCAGAGAACUAAAAAAAAAACUUAGUAUCUUAUUAAUCUAACAAUGAAAGCUAACAGGAUAUAUAUUGCUAAUAAAUGGUAUUUCAACUUGACAAUUCACCACUAAACAUUGAGCUUAUAUUAGAGAAAACAACAUACAACACCCAAGAGAAUAAAUGACUAACAAAAUCAUGAUAGAAUCUAAUUGAAACUAUGACCUCAAUGGAAGCUCAAAUUUUACAGGAUGAAACUAGAUAAUAUCUUUCCAGCAAUUCCAACAUAGCCUAAACCAAGAAAAAUUGAAAAGAAAUAAUAGAUAAGUAUCAUGCUAUUCAUAACACAUUCAAAAUUGACGUCAAAAUAGAAGUAAGAGUGGGGAAAAUUGAACCUGAGAUGGCUUCUUUUAAAUGAGUAAAAUCAGUGACUACAAUGAUAGGUUUAAACUGACUGUGUGCAAGACCCGACGACGAAAACAAACAUGAGCAACAACUGAAUCGGGCCUCAAACCAUACCCCGAACCGGCGGCUAGAACCUCGACUCGAAAACCCAAACGCCUUGCCAGAAAACUCGGAUGAUUAAGCAGAUCUGAAGGUUUUAGUCAUGUUCAUGGCUCUUCAUCACUGUUGGUCGCCAUUUUCGGUGAGACUUGGUGAAGGCGGCUGGAGACGGGUCUGUUUGGUUGGUGUUCCGGUGGUUUUUUGGUUGAAUAGCUGGCAGAGAUGGGGUCGUUUUUGAAGAGUGGUUAAGGUGGUAUUGAAUCAGUAAGAUGAAGAGAGGAACGUUUGAAGCUUUUUUAGAUGGGGNNNNN